rnacentral:rRNA from 1 species
AUGAAAAUCCUGAGUUGGAACUGUCGGGGGUUGGGUCAACCCCGCACAGUUCAAGAGCUUGUGUGUCUCUCUAAGACGCACCAACCCAAUGUUAUCUUCCUUUCAGAGACUAGAAAAAAUAAAGAAUAUGUUGAAGGUUUGCGUUAUCGGUUGGGUAUGAAAAAUGUGUUCUCCUUUUCAGCUCAAGGGAAAGGUGGAGGCCUUGCUGUGUUCUGGGAUGAU